GCUGGGCAACAGCUGUGAUCUGUAACUGACACCUCUCCAGGUCUGCCCUGCUCCCCUUGCCUGGACACUGUGGGAUGGCCCAUGGCUCCUGGCUCCCUGUUCCUUACUGACCAAAGGGUCCUUCCUGCUCCCUAGGCACUCUAUGCUGACUGAAUCCAGACAAGCGGGAGAGUUCUCUGUCCUCCUAUCCUGUGUUCCUACAGGAGGUGAUGGUCAGGAUCUCUUCCUGCAGUCAAUCAUUAUGAGCCUAUCGGAUUGACUAGACUAAAGGUAAUUGAAGAAGGACAACUCUGUCUGCACAUUCCAACCCCUCAGUAUUGGUAAGUGAAGAAACUCUAAAGCCUAAUCACCUCUCUCUCCUUGCCUCUCCUUGCUUACACCUAAUGCCCUGCACAUACUCUGCCCUUAUUGUUCCAAUUAUAUUUUAAACAACUUCUUUAUUUGCCUUCUUUUUGUUUAUUUGGGAUGUAAGAGAAGGUAUCAG
rnacentral:lncRNA from 1 species